rnacentral:snoRNA from 1 species
AUACCAUGAUGAGGACAUUUUCUGAGUAACUCCUUAAAUCUCUCCCAUGCGUCAUACAAGCUCUCAUCUUCAAGUUAAUGGAAAGAUGUGAUUUCGUUCCUCAACUU